UGAUAAUUGAUGAAUUAAUCGCAUUACAUUUAUUUGCAAUUUGGACGAUUAUGCGAGCAGAUGGUUCGAACAUGAAACCAUAACUGCAUACUGCUCUCCCAACCACUCACGUCGUUCUCAUUUCUGGCAUUUUCUCAAUUUUUGUAUUGUUUCUUAUGCCAGUGAAGGAUUGUCAGAGGGAGCUGCACACCCAGCCAGGAUUCUGGUUUGUACACACGAUAUAGCAUAUUGGACUCUAGGAUUUAAUGUUUUUCAACAUAUAGUGGCCAAGGCCUUGUGAUCACAACUUGGGUCCUU
rnacentral:lncRNA from 1 species